rnacentral:rRNA from 1 species
GGUGGUAAUGCCGGAUGUUCCACAUGAUCGCAUGUGAUUGUGGGAAAGAUUCUAUCGGCGUGGGAUGGGGUCGCGUCCUAUCAGCUUGUUGGUGAGGUAACGGCUCACCAAGGCUUCGACGGGUAGCCGGCCUGAGAGGGCGACCGGCCACAUUGGGACUGAGAUACGGCCCAGACUCCUACGGGAGGCAGCAGUGGGGAAUAUUGCACAAUGGGCGCAAGCCUGAUGCAGCGACGCCGCGUGAGGGAUGGAGGCCUUCGGGUUGUAAACCUCUUUUGUUUGGGAGCAAGCCUUCGGGUGAGUGUACCUUUCGAAUAAGCGCCGGCUAACUACGUGCCAGCAGCCGCGGUAAUACGUAGGGCGCAAGCGUUAUCCGGAUUUAUUGGGCGUAAAGGGCUCGUAGGCGGCUCGUCGCGUCCGGUGUGAAAGUCCAUCGCUUAACGGUGGAUCUGCGCCGGGUACGGGCGGGCUGGAGUGCGGUAGGGGAGACUGGAAUUCCCGGUGUAACGGUGGAAUGUGUAGAUAUCGGGAAGAACACCA